rnacentral:rRNA from 1 species
UACGGAGGGAGCUAGCGUUAUUCGGAAUUACUGGGCGUAAAGCGCACGUAGGCGGCUUUGCAAGUUAGAGGUGAAAGCCUGGAGCUCAACUCCAGAACUGCCUUUAAAACUGCAUCGCUUGAAUCCAGGAGAGGUGAGUGGAAUUCCGAGUGUAGAGGUGAAAUUCGUAGAUAGUUCGGAAGAACACCAGUGGCGAAGGCGGCUCACUGGACUGGUAUUGACGCUGAGGUGCGAAAGCGUGGGGAGCAAACAGG